CCUACGGGAGGCAGCAGUGAGGAAUAUUGGUCAAUGGACGAGAGUCUGAACCAGCCAAGUAGCGUGAAGGAUGACUGCCCUAUGGGUUGUAAACUUCUUUUAUAAAGGAAUAAAACGAGGCACGUGUGCCUUUUUGCAUGUACUUUAUGAAUAAGGAUCGGCUAACUCUGUGCCAGCAGCCGCGGUAAUACGGAGGAUCCGAGCGUUAUCCGGAUUUAUUGGGUGUAAAGGGAGCGUAGAUGGGUUGUUAAGUCAGUUGUGAAAGUUUGCGGCUCAACCGUAAAAUUGCAAUUGAUACUGGCAGUCUUGAGUACAGUUGAGGUAGGCGGAAUUCGUGGUGUAGCGGUGAAAUGCUUAGAUAUCACGAAGAACCCCGAUUGCGAAGGCAGCUUACUAAACUGUGACUGACAUUGAUGCUCGAAAGUGUGGGUAGCAAACAGGAUUAGAUACCCCAGUAGUC
rnacentral:rRNA from 1 species